GUACACGCUGUGACUAGCAUAUCAAUAAGCGGAGGAAAAGAAACUAACAAGGAUUCCCCUAGUAACGGCGAGUGAAGCGGGAAGAGCUCAAAUUUGAAAUCUUAAAGGGUUUCCCUUUACGAAUUGUAGUUUAAAGAAGUGUUUUCUGUUGAGGUUUUGGUAAAAGUUCUUUGGAAUAGGACAUCAUAGAGGGUGAGAAUCCCGUAUUUGACCUUUACUUUCAACUUUGUGAUACACUUUCAAAGAGUCGGAUUGUUUGGGAAUGCAGUCCAAAAUGGGUGGUAAAUUUCAUCUAAAGCUAAAUAUUGGCGAGAGACCGAUAGCGAACAAGUACCGUGAGGGAAAGAUGAAAAGAACUUUGAAAAGAGAGUUAAACAGUACGUGAAAUUGUCAAAAGGGAAGCGUUUGACACCAGUGUUGUUUUUCUGAAAAUCAAUUAAAGAACUGUUUAUGCUAAGUUGUUUAGACUUUAUCAGCUAUCUGUUUAGUUUUGAGCUUUUCUUUAAUGCACUUUUCAGUUAACAAGUCAACAUCAAUUUCUUUUGCUGUAAAAAAGCUUGAGGAAGGUGGCUUGAGAUUCGUCUUAAGUGUUUAUAGCCUCUUGCCUAUGCAGUCGGAGAGAUUGAGGUCUGCAGCGUAGAUCCUUCGGGGCUAAAUGCAUUUGUGCUAAGUUAUAGCAUUUUAUAGACAACUUGUUGACUGUGAUUUGUCUUGUAGCUUACUCGCUUAUGUUAUUUUACCUACGCUUAGGAUGUUGACUGAUAUGUAGUCGUA
rnacentral:rRNA from 1 species